rnacentral:rRNA from 1 species
AACGAACGCUGGCGGCGCGCCCAAUACAUGCAAGUCGAGCGAGAAGACGUAGCAAUACGUUUGUAAAGCGGCGAACGGGUGAGGAAUACAUGGGUAACCUACCCUCGAGUGGGGAAUAACUAGCCGAAAGGUUAGCUAAUACCGCGUACGCUCCUUGGACUUCGGUUCAGGGAGGAAAGCGAUACCGUGGGUAUCGCGCUCUUGGAUGGGCUCAUGUCCUAUCAGCUUGUUGGUGAGGUAACGGCUCACCAAGGCUUCGACGGGUAGCUGGUCUGAGAGGACGAUCAGCCACACUGGCACUGCGACACGGGCCAGACUCCUACGGGAGGCAGCAGUAAGGAAUAUUGCGCAAUGGGCGAAAGCCUGACGCAGCGACGCCGCGUGGGGGA